rnacentral:tRNA from 1 species
GUGAAUAUGGCUUAGUGGUAGAGUGCUUGCCUAGCAUGCAGGAAGCCCUGGGUUCAAUUCCUCAGCACCACA